ensembl:lncRNA
UUUGAAUAGAAGCAUAUCCAAAAUUUAUAUUAAUGUAAUUCUACUUAUCAAUUAUUCCAGUCUCUUCCUCAUCUAUCAACAGAGUGGCAGAAACACCAUUAGAUGUUUAGCAAAGGUGUUUUGAGAAACUAAGUUUAGGGUCACUGCAUAUCUGAGCAGUUAAAGGACUGAGAUGGACGGGAAAUGUGCUGCAUGGCAUUGUGCUCAGAUUUAAGAGUAAAUGUGAGCCAGAGAAAAUCAUGUGGUGAGUUUAACCACAUCCUUUUGACAUCUCAAACCCACCCCCUCCUCUCUUGCUCCCUCUUUCUGAGGUCUAUGGAGUAUUCUGUGUCCUAACACAGUGUUGGGGGCCAAUAAAAGCCUUUGGGGAAACAGAGCAUUUCCAGCCAAACUCCGGAAAAGAGGCAGUAAAGGGAAUGCUAACCCAGGCAAAGAAAGAGAGAGAAGAGAAAAAAAUGGAGCACCCAUAAAAAUACCAGAACAGUAGUGAAACAUCUUUUCAUUAUGCUUAAUAAAACCCCUAAACAAGCCCUCAAUAAUGGGUAAGGUUUCAUAACAAGGGACUGGCUAAACGUCUAUGAAUCUUGUUAAAAGAUAUUGGUUAGAGAGAGACUGCGUAGGGGCCGCCGAGCCGUUACAUGGUCUGUUACGGUGAUGGGUCACUCGAUAAAUCUGCCUUGUGGUUCUUUCAACAGGGCGGAUGGAGCACAUGUUCAUUGUGAUGCUUUGGAAAGCAUGUGGAAGGUAGCUUCACAUGGACUUCAAGGUAUCUUCUCGGAUGAGCUGAGAGAGAGAAACCCUGGUUUGAGCUCAGUGAGCUGCUUUCCUGGAUUCUUCCAGAUCUAAGAAGAACAAUGAAACCAUUCUGAGUUGGAGUCAAAUGCUAGAAG